rnacentral:rRNA from 1 species
UUGACGGGGCCCGCACAAGCAGCGGAGCGUGUGGUUUAAUUCGAUGCAACGCGAAGAACCUUACCAGGGUUUGACAUGCUUAAAGUAGAAACUCGAAAGAGGGACGACCUGUAUCCAAUCAGGAAUUUGCACAGGUGCUGCAUGGCUGUCGUCAGCUCGUGCCGUGAGGUGUUAGGUUAAGUCCUGCAACGAGCGCAACCCUCGUCGCUAGUUAAUUUCUCUAGCGAUACUGCCCGUAUAACGCGGAGGAAGGUGGGGAUGACGUCAAGUCAGCAUGGCCCUUACAUCCUGGGCUACACACGUGCUACAAUGGCUGGUACAAAGAGACGCAAGACCGCGAGGUGGAGCAAAUCUCAAAAACCAGUCCCAGUUCGGAUUGUAGGCUGCAACUCGCCUGCAUGAAGUCGGAGUUGCUAGUAAUCGCAGAUCAGAAUGCUGCGGUGAAUGCGUUCCCGGGUCCUU